UAGGGAAUCUUCCACAAUGGACGAAAGUCUGAUGGAGCAACACCGCGUGAGUGAAGAAGGGUUUCGGCUCGUAAAACUCUGUUGUUAAAGAAGAACACGUAUGAGAGUAACUGUUCAUACGUUGACGGUAUUUAACCAGAAAGUCACGGCUAACUACGNGCCAG
rnacentral:rRNA from 1 species